rnacentral:rRNA from 1 species
AAUAGAUACCCGGGUAGUCCACGCCGUAAACGAUGAGUGCUAAGUGUUAGAGGGUUUCCGCCCUUUAGUGCUGCAGCUAACGCAUUAAGCACUCCGCCUGGGGAGUACGGUCGCAAGACUGAAACUCAAAGGAAUUGACGAGGGCCCGCACAAGCGGUGGAGCAUGUGGUUUAAUUCGAAGCAACGCGAAGAACCUUACCAGGUCUUGACAUCCUCUGACAACUCUAGAGAUAGAGCGUUCCCCUUCGGGGGACAGAGUGACAGGUGGUGCAUGGUUGUCGUCAGCUCGUGUCGUGAGAUGUUGGGUUAAGUCCCGCAACGAGCGCAACCCUUGAUCUUAGUUGCCAGCAUUUAGUUGGGCACUCUAAGGUGACUGCCGGUGACAAACCGGAGGAAGGUGGGGAUGACGUCAAAUCAUCAUGCCCCUUAUGACCUGGGCUACACACGUGCUACAAUGGAUGGUACAAAGGGCUGCAAGACCGCGAGGUCAAGCCAAUCCCAUAAAACCAUUCUCAGUUCGGAUUGU